rnacentral:lncRNA from 1 species
CCGCCGCCUGGCAUGCUUCUCCAGUCGAGGAAGCUCGCCCGGCGCCAGCAGUCGCAGCAGCCACAGCAGUUCAGCUUCCCACAGCCACAGCACCUCCUGCCGCAGGACUUCACUCCGCGGCAGCGCCCAGGCGACCUGCCCGUUCUCCCGCAGCUCCAGCCUUGGCCGCCUGCAGACAAAUGGCACCGCCAAGGAGGCACGGGGAGCCCUCCCAAGACUCCGGCCCCGGGGCGAGGGCAGCGCAGCCGAGCCCCUCAACGCAGGCUUGGCCUCCUCCACGCCGCUGGUAAACCCCGCGCCAGGCUCCUUGGAGUCCUCCAAACCACCCUCUGCUCAACAGUCCUAGUAAACUCCCGCCAGGCGGGGCACUGGGCGCGGGCGCCUUCAGCAGCCUGCAGAGCCCAUGCCUUCAGCACCCUGACAAAGGGGGAGGUGACGCCGCGUCUCCCUGCAGCUGCCUGGCUUUGACACCCCCUGGUUGGUGAAGACCGCAUCACCGCCACCGCAGUCCCAGCAGCCUCCGGCGCCCCAGCCGCCGCCGCCAAAGCCGCCCCUUCACAGCCACAGAAGCCGCCGCGCCACAGCGGCAGGCGCCCGGCUUCUUGGCCACCACCCCGGGCAGCGGCGGUGGAGGCGAGCUCAGCGCUAUGCCAACGCCCAGCCCCGACUCGGAGACCGGCUUCUACCCCGGGCUCCCAUCGUCUAUGAACCCGGCCUUCUUCCCAAGCUUCUGGCCCGUGUCGCCGCAUGGCUGCGCAGGGCUCAGCGUGCUGGCGAGCGGAGGUUGCCGCGGCCCCUUCUAGGCGACCGCCAGGACCCCACCGCCGCCUGCCACAAAUUUAACUCAGCUGCAGCCCCCGCCGCCCGCCGCCCGCGGCGCCGCAACAGCCGCUGACCCGGAGGUCGCCCUUCAGCCCGCAGCUCCAGCAGGAGCACCAGGCGGCGGUCGCCGCCUUCCUGCAUCAGAGGAACUCUUACAACCACCACCAGCCUCUUCUGAAACAAUUGCCUUGGAGCAACCACCAGAGCAGUGGCUCGGACAUUGGAAGCAUGUCUGGGGAGCAGUGCAUGGCAGAGAUCAUCCUAGAACUGGAAACACGGAAAUUCCAGGAACCAUGAAUCAGAUAUCUUCAUUGAAGAAACCAUUCUCUGGUCAUGUCAUAGCACCACCGAAAUUUACUCGCUCUACUCCAUCACUGACUCCAAAAUCUUGGAUUGAAGAUAAGGUGUUCAGAACAGACAACAAUAGUAAUACACUGUUAUACUUACAGGUGAGAUCUAGUUUGCAGUUGCCAGCUUGGGGCUCAGAUUCACUCCAAGAUAGUUGGUGCAUUGCAGCUGGAACAUCCAGAAGAGAAACCGGGAUCGAAGCAGAAUAUAUGACAGUUUAAAUAUGCACUCUUUGGAAAAUUCCCUCAUUGAUAUUAUGAGAGCAGAGCAUGAUCCCCUCAAGGGUCGAUUGAGUUAUCCACAUCCAGGAACUGACAAUCUGUUGAUGUUAAAUGCUGUGAAUAAAACCCUGAAUAAGAUUACUGAGAAACCAGGAUCAAAUUGUAAACUCACUUCUUACAGGCAAGGUCUUCAAGCUAUUCUCAGAACCUUCUAGCUAUCUUUAAAUACAUGAAGAAGUUCACCCAUCAAUAAUAUAUUUAUCAUGCAUG